CCUACGGGAGGCAGCAGUGAGGGAUAUUGGUCAAUGGCCGGAAGGCUGAACCAGCCAAGUCGCGUGAGGGACGACUGCCCUAUGGGUGGUAAACCUCGUUUGUAAGGGAAAAAUAAAUGCUACGUGUAGCAUGAUGCCUGUACCUUAUGAAUAAGCAUCGGCUAACUCCGUGCCACGAGCCGCGGUAAUACGGAGGAUGCGAGCGUUAUCCGGAUUUAUUGGGUUAAAAGGGUGCGGAGGCGGUGUUCUAAGUUAGUGGUUAAACGUCGGGGCUUCACCUUGAUUUGCUAUUAAUACUGUAAGACUAGAGUGCAGACGAGGUAGGCGGAAUAAGUUAAGUAGCGGUGAAAUGCUUAGAUAUCACUUAGAACUCCGAUAGCGAAGGCAGCUUACCAGACUGCGACUGACGCUGAAGCACGAGAGCGUGGGGAGCGAACAGGAUUAGAUACCCCGGUAGUC
rnacentral:rRNA from 1 species